GGUGGGCAGACCGGAAUCGCUUUUCUCGCUCCGGAUUUCCUCUUGGCCGAAAGGGUCGAGGCAGGAAGGAGAACGCUAUAUAUACACCUCUUUGUACCUGGGACUAGACAUAAUAGCUUGAGAAAGGCUUGGGUGGAUUGCUUUUCAUAGCUAUGUCGCUAAAGCCCUUGCGAUUCGACUUUCCUUCUUUGAUGGAGAGAAUGCGUUGGUAUAGAAUCUAGCAGCAAUCCUUCCCGCUAGGCGAGAUCUUUGAGCAUUGCUAAGCUACUCUUAACUUAAUAAGUAAUUUCGUCAGUCAGCAGUUCAGCCCGCAACUCACUAACUACAGCUUCUAUCUCCUUCCUCUAGGUCCCAUUAGACUGAUCCUUAGUCCUUCUCCCCCGCAACCAAGCCUUAAGGCUUUCCUUAUGCAGAGGGGAUGCUCACUAAUCGACUGCUUCUCUCGAGAUGCGAAGAAUAGCGUAAAUAAAGACUCUCUUGGUCCUUUCGAAGCAGAUAUUCGUACGCCAUUGGGUUAUUUGAGGAUGGCACUGGUUGAGGCUUGACUGCUUUCCUUGGUUUCCCUUUGGUUAGAAGGGAUAACUCUUAAUUAAGGCCUUAGGCUAGCAAGGUGAAUGGAUUUAGGAAAAAAAAGAUCCCACGUCCCAUACGAAAGAAAGACCUGGUUUUAAAAGAAUAAAGAAGGCUAUGGGAAAAGAUCCCAGACUAGGCUCGCUCCAGGCGGAUUCAAUUCUUCCUCCCCCAGACCCGGCAUAAGAGAAGGACUUCUUUUGAUCUUAUACAAGUUUUUCUGUUCCGGCACAUGCAUAGAAGGAAUGAGAAAUUAAGGGAUUGGGCUUUUUCCCACACCUCAGGGCGCCUUGGCCGACCGACAGGCUGAGGGCAAUGGAAACGCAAACAAAAUUAGCGGUGACAUAUGCCCAAACAAAAAUGGAGGGAGAGAGAUCUCUGGUCUGGUCUUGGGAAUUGUCGCCGGAGGUGGAGUCGUAACACCGACGGACCUUGGGAUAAGAACCCCUUAUCCCCCCGGACGUACUAAUUGAGGAACCGGGUAAGAAAACUCACGAUUAGAAUAAAAGGUAGUUCGUUUUCUGCAAGAGGUGUUGGUUCGAGUCCAACUCGUCAGAAGGAAUCCAAGCAAGAGACUGGCGCGCAUACAUGGGGUGGUUAAACUGAGUUGAAAAAAGGUUCCAAUUUCGACGAUCUAUGUGCUUUUAGUAUGCCCUCUUUCAGAUCUCAUUCGUUAUCUCUAAUUACUAUGAUGCAUCUGGGGGACAUCACCGGACUUUCCAUCAAAGGCGAGUAUUAUGAAGAGGUCGUGCCAAGCUUUGGGGGUCUCUGCCCACUGUGCUAACACUUUAUACCUUCUUUCAUCCCCGUGUCCAGCAUUGAUCCCGGAGCUGGAAAGAAGGAUUGUUUUUCUGUCUAGUUUAGACGGUCUUGUCUAUGAUGGAGUAUAGAAAUGUGAUAUUUGUUAUCUCAAGUUCAGAUAGCAUCAGUAACCACUUCGCCAUUCUCUUAAAUAGGGCAGGCUUCUAAAUUCUAAAACAGAUCUUUAUUGAAAUGCAUUCAUACGUGGGAUCCACGUACUGCCGGAUGGAACCGAAAUCCCACAUAUCGAGUUAGGAAUGGUCCUUCCAAAACCUAGUCCGGAUAUAGAAUGACCCAACCCCGGGCUUGUCUUGGAGUUUCCAACAGCUUCACGUAGCCCGAAUAGGCCACUCACUGAUCUCCAGCUUCGCCUUAGGUUCCCGGC